rnacentral:rRNA from 1 species
UCAACGGAGAGUUUGAUCCUGGCUCAGGACGAACGCUGGCGGCGUGCUUAACACAUGCAAGUCGAACGGUGAA